AAUAACUGCUUUCUAUUUGAACAUAUUUUAAAAUCUAAUUGUGACCCUGGACCACAAAACCAGUCUUAAGUCGCUGGGGUUUAUUUGUAGCAAUAGCCAAAAAUACAUUGUAUGGUUCAAAAUUAUUGAUUUUUCUUUUAUGGCAAAAAUCAUUAGGAAAUUAAGUAAAGAUCAUGUUCCAUUAAGAUAUUUUGUAAAAUUCCUACUGUAAAUGUAUGAAAACUUAAUUUUUGAUUAGUGAUAUACAUUGUUAAGAACAUUAUUUGAAGAAAUUUAAAGGCGAUUUUCUCAAUAUUUUGAUUUUUUUUUUGCACCCUCAAAUUCCUGAUUUUUAAAUAGUUGUAUCUCGGCCAAAUAUUGUCCUAUCCUAACAAACUAUACAUCAAUGAAAAGCUUAUUUAUUCAGCUUUCAUAUGAUGUAUAAAUCUCGAUUUUGAAAAAAUGACCCUUACGACUGGUUUUGUGAUCCAGGGUCACAAUUUAUUCCUGUGAUUCAAAAUCCAAGCUGAAUUUUUAUAAUAUUCUGAUUUGCUAAUCAAGAAACAUUUAUUAUUAUUAUGUUGCUACAAAAGCUUUUUUAUUUCAGAUAAAUGCUGAUCUUUGGAUGUACCCAUGUACCCAACUGUUUAAAAAUAUUUAUAAUAAUAAAUUUAAAAAAAACAGCAAAUCAACAUAUUAGAAUGAUUUCUGAAGGAUCAUGUGACACUUAAAACUGAAGUAACGAUGCUGAAAUUUUUAACUUUAAUUGCAUUUUGAAAUUUAUUCAAACAGUAUAUAGAAAAUAUUUCACAAUAUUACCGCCUUUGCUGUAUUUUGGAUGAAAUAAACGCAGGCUUGGUGAGCAGAAGAGACUUAAAAAACAUUUAAAAUCUUACUGUUCAAAAAUAUUUGACUGGUAGUGUAGUCGCCCUCAUUUUCCCCUAUAGUUCGGUCCUAAAAAGCCUUUUUGCACCCUACAAAACAGGAUGCACAUUAAGAAUCCCAUUUACAGCUCUUGCCCCCAGCUGUUCGCUGCAUCUUCUAGAAGGGAGGACACUACUGCGCAGCGGCCGGGGAGGGUCUCCAGUCCAGCGGACACAACCGUUAUCGCUCUUGCUACAGGGUGACCGAGCAUCCUCCGCAUCUUUUGGACCAGCUGCUCUGUGAACAUCAUGCUGGACGUCCUGUUAUUGAUGUUCUUCGCCAUUAUGGGCCUUGUGUUCCUGUCCUACAUCAUCUACAUGCUCUGAUCACGGCAGAAUCGAUGGACCGUCGUGAGAGCGACUGCGUGAUUCACGUCCACCGGAGGGACAUGAGCUCAAAGGAAGAGGCUCUGUUUGUUCAGUCGUGAGAUGAGGAGCAGCUGUAACGUGAAUUCACUGGAGGACGCAGGAUGCACUUACACGAUGAGACUUCACCCGUCUCUCUGUCACACAAACACUGUUCCUAUAGGAUAGCAGCUGACACAAAACCUACACCACACUAUUAGAUUCUCCCCUUUUAAUUUAAAAGACAGUGUUCAACUACGUUCCCCAAAAGUACAGACCAUGGCUGAAACAGUGCCACGAAACCUUAAGAUCUGUGACUGUGCGGCUAUUAUUUCUUUUUCUGUCAUUCUGUGGAAUUUCUGCUAUGACUAUUUACAAACUUACAGUUUAGGUGACACUAUCAUCAAAUGCAUGUGUUGUAUGUCCAUGGAUGUUCAUAAAUGACUGGUUUUCAAAAUAAAGAGCCUUUGUGAGGAUGAAA